CUGGCAGUAAACGAUGUGGACAUGGCGUAGGGGGGUUCAAAUCCCUUUGUGCCGGAGCAAACGCGAUAAGUCCACCACCUGGGGACUACGGCCGCAAGGUUAAAACUCAAAGGAAUUGACGGGGGCCCGCACAAGCAGCGGAGCGUGUGGUUUAAUUCGAUGCUACACGAAGAACCUUACCAGGGUUUGACAUACACAUGGUAGAGACGUGAAAGCGUCUUGACCCUUCGGGGAGUGUGAACAGGUGU
rnacentral:rRNA from 1 species